CAAUGUGACAAAAUGUCAUCGGGGAGAUUUGUGCCAAGCGAGAUGAGGAUACAAGAUAUGGAAACAAAAAAAGUGACAGUACUGACAUGCAGUGUCCAGUAGUGGAGAAAAAUAUGGCAGGCCAGUAGGAAGACAUGAGUGGGCACUUCCAGUUUGACACAGACGCCACCCUGAUGACACAUUUAGUCCAACGUGAUAACCAAGGCGACCAACGACACCCCGUUGAUGCGUGUCAAAGAGGCCCAGAUGUAUGAAGUCGAUUUACUCCCAACUCAAAGGGCAAUAUCGUGAAAUAUUCGUGUGGAAAAAUACAUUUCCGUGAUAAUCGAACGGCAUAACGUGCAACUACGAGCGACACCCACCAGGAAAAAUGACAAGAUGACUCAGCAAUUGCAGGGUUCCGGUGCAGACUUUGAAUUGCCGUGAUGGAUUAUUACUGCUGUAGGAGCACCCCCAAAAGAUGGCAAUUUCAAGAUCGGGAGGGCGAUUAGAAUCGUGCCAAGUGAGCUGCGAGAUAUGAGCAAGAAAUUCGUGUGAACUCACCCCCCUCCACGCUGCCUCUCACCAACCCAGCCAUCUAUAAAGUAGUUGGCCUACAUAGUCGUCAAGCAACAUAUUGGGGAGGCCGAUUGUUAGCUAGUGAAUUGGACUGUACUCAAUCAUCCAUAUUUGAUUGACAAGUAAGGCGGAGCUUAUCCCAGAUGACACCGUUUCGGAAGAGGACCAAAGUGAAAUCGAUUAAAAAUCGGUUAAAAAAUAUUAAGCCGAUUUUUGCAGACUGUGUGAUGCGGAACUAAGCUAGCUGCAGGAAAAAAAAAAGGAGAACAUGGGAGCUGUCACUGGAGAAGCAGGAUACUGUAGGCCAUAUGAGGCCACAGCAGGCUGGGAAAGCUUGUUACUGCUUUGAGCUUCCACAUGUAAAAGCACCACAAC